GUAGCUCAUUUGAGCUUGGCCUGGCUCAGGGGAAAGGCAGCAGUGCCCCAAAAGUCUGGCAGUGGUGGGAGAGUCGCGUUCCCUCGCGUUUUAGUUCACAGUCAGGAAAGAAGGCAAGAGGGGCUUGCUGACUUAAAAUUGCAUAAGAGCUUGUCUUCCCUGAUCCUCAAGUAUUAGUGAGACAGUCCCUAAUAUCCCUGGUGUAAGAUGUGGAAAAGAAGCAUGAAAUAACCAAGCAGCGGGAACCGAGGAAAAUAGAGAAUAAAAGAAAUAGGAAAAAACGGCAACUGUACCUGCAACGCUGACUAACAACGGAGUUAAAAUAGCCCCACACCAGGGUGCCAGGUUGCAUUGCUGUUCCAUCUCUCCGGUCUCCUGU